UGGGGAAUAUUGCGCAAUGGGCGAAAGCCUGACGCAGCGACGCCGCGUGUGGGAUGAAGGUCUUCGGGUUGUAAACCACUGUCGGGAGGGACGAAUGCGCCGCAAGGCGAGUGACGGUACCUCCAAAGGAAGCACCGGCUAACUAUGUGCCAGCAGCCGCGGUAAUACAGAGGGUGCGAGCGUUGUCCGGAAUCACUGGGCGUAAAGGGCGCGUAGGCGGCUUGAUAAGUAGGGGGUGAAAUCUUGCGGCUCAACUGCAAGGCUGCCUCCUAAACUGUCAGGCUUGAGCACAGUAGAGGCAGGUGGAAUUCCCGGUGUAGCGGUGGAAUGCGUAGAGAUCGGGAAGAACAUCGGUGGCGAAGGCGGCCUGCUGGGCUGUUGCUGACGCUGAGGCGCGACAGCGUGGGGAGCAAA
rnacentral:rRNA from 1 species